ACGAGUUUUUGAAACGGGUUGUAGCUGGCUCUCCAAACGAGGGCAUGUGCACGCCUGACUCAAUCCACUCUUAAACCUCUGUGCACUUACUGUAGGCUUGGUGAUUGAAGGACUCGCAAGAGUCUUGAUAGAGCCUUGUCUAUGCUUUUACAAACGCUUCAGUUUAAGAAUGUUACUCGCGUUUAACGCAAUAAAUA
rnacentral:misc_RNA from 1 species